rnacentral:rRNA from 1 species
AUGGCGCGCAGCCUCAUGAAGGCCAUGGGCGUGCCGUGCGCGUUCUGGGGCGAGGCUGUGCACACCGCCGUCCACAUCCUCAACCAGUCGCCGACCAGAAGCCUGCAGGGCAUUACUCCUUAUGAAGCGUGGCGCAAGAAGAAACCGGCAGUGGACUACUUCCGCACCUUCGGAUGCGUCGCGCAUGUCAAGCUCGUCGGACCCGGGGUGACCAAGCUGGCGGACAGAUCGCACCCUGGCAUCUUCCUGGGGUACGAGCCAGGGACGAAGGGCUAUCGGGUGUACGACCCGGUCGGCAAGCGUCUAUACAUCACACGCGAUGUGCGCUUCGAGGAGGAGCGGCGCUGGGACUGGAGCAAGGACAACGGGGACUCGGCGCACGCCCGCGAGUGGUGGGGUCACCGCGAACACCUUCAACGCCAGCUACGCCAAGCACACCAGCCUUACCGCAAUCUCCAUGGACGCCCAUGGCCGGCGACUCGGGCAUGGGCGCGUCGAGCGCGUCGAGCACGCCCGCAUCGGCAAGUAUCAGUCCGUCUACGCCAACACCGAAAUUCUACGACCCGGAGGACGGGUGGGUGA